rnacentral:rRNA from 1 species
UACGUAGGGGGCUAGCGUUGUCCGGAAUCAUUGGGCGUAAAGCGCGUGUAGGCGGCCCGGUAAGUCCGCUGUGAAAGUCGGGGGCUCAACCCUCGGAUGCCGGUGGAUACUGUCGGGCUCGAGUACGGAAGAGGCGAGUGGAAUUCCUGGUGUAGCGGUGAAAUGCGCAGAUAUCAGGAAGAACACCUAUGGCGAAGGCAGCUCUCUGGGACGGUACUGACGCUGAGGAGCGAAAGCGUGGGGAGCGAACAGG